UAGGGAAUCUUCGGCAAUGGGGGGAACCCUGACCGAGCAACGCCGCGUGAGUGAAGAAGGUUUUCGGAUCGUAAAGCUCUGUUGUUAAGGAAGAACGAGUGUGAGAAUGGAAAGUUCAUGCUGUGACGGUACUUAACCAGAAAGCCACGGCUAACUACGUGCCAGCAGCCGCGGUAAUACGUAGGUGGCAAGCGUUGUCCGGAAUUAUUGGGCGUAAAGCGCGCGCAGGUGGUUUAGAAAGUCUGAUGUGAAAGCCCACGGCUCAACCGUGGAGGGUCAUUGGAAACUAAUAAACUUGAGUGCAGGAGAGAAAAGUGGAAUUCCUAGUGUAGCGAUGAAAUGCGUAGAGAUUAGGAGGAACACCGGUGGCGAAAGCGGCUUUUUGGCCUGCAACUGACACUGAGGCGCGAAAGCGUGGGGAGCAAACAGG
rnacentral:rRNA from 1 species